rnacentral:rRNA from 1 species
CUAUUUCUAGUGGCGGACGGGUGAGUAACGCGUGGGUAACCUGCCUUAUACAGGGGGAUAACAGUUAGAAAUGACUGCUAAUACCGCAUAAGACCACGGUACCGCAUGGUACAGGGGUAAAAACUCCGGUGGUAUGAGAUGGACCCGCGUCUGAUUAGGUAGUUGGUGGGGUAACGGCCUACCAAGCCGACGAUCAGUAGCCGACCUGAGAGGGUGACCGGCCACAUUGGGACUGAGACACGGCCCAG